rnacentral:rRNA from 1 species
CCCUACGGGACGCAGCAGUGAGGAGUAUUGGUCAAUGGGCGAGAGCCUGAACCAGCCAAGUCGCGUGAGGGAGUACUGCCCUAUGGGUUGUAAACCUCUUUUGUCGGGGAGCAAAAGCCGGACGUGUCCGGCUGUGAGAGUACCCGAAGAAAAAGCAUCGGCUAACUCCGUGCCAGCAGCCGCGGUAAUACGGAGGAUGCGAGCGUUAUCCGGAUUUAUUGGGUUUAAAGGGUGCGUAGGCGGAGUGUCAAGUCAGCGGUAAAAUUUCGGGGCUCAACCCCGUCGUGCCGUUGAAACUGACACCC